GAGAGGGGGAGAGAGCAGAACCCCUUCAAACCCCCAUUUCGUUUCUCACCAAUAUCGGCGAGAUUCCGUGAGGAAGAGAGCUUCUUCCGAUCUUACCCCUUGCUCCGCUCCCCUUGCCGCCACUUCUCGUUCCACUGGUGAUGACUAUAGCGGGAUUACGAGGAACUAGAUUGGGGGUUUGUGGAGUUCGAUCGCCAUUGUUGUAGCGGUGAUUCUGGUUGAUCGAGUUUAGAGAAGAUGGAAUACAGAGCUGGGAGAAGAAGACGACUGAGGAUCUAGGGCUGGGAGGGUUAUACUGGUAAAAAUAACAUGGCGCCCCUAUAUGUUAUCCAUUCAAAUUCUAUUUUCUCACCUACGUUGCCAAAUGGGCUGUUAGUUAGAGAGAGAGAGAGAGAGAGAGAAAUGAGUAGAAGGAGUAGAGUAACUUCCACUCUUCGUCUCUCUUUUUUUUCCUUUU